GGGUAUUUCAUCUGGAGAUCUCUGCCUGCCUAAGGACCUUGCAGGCCUUCUGAAGCUGAUGAACAGCCUCUAGGGAGGAGACAGGAUCACCCUCAUUUCCUGAUCAGCCUUGCACCAGCAAAAAAACUAAUGAAAGAGAAGAAUGUAAUGGCCUUGCAGCCCAGAUUGACAGUCCUGGAGACAGAACUCCCCUACCAACAGAAUGGUUACUUCAAUCAGAAACGGCAACAUGCAUUUCCUACAAUGACAUGCCAGAGCCCUGACCUAAAGGGACCACCCUUAGGCUUGAGAAUAUAGUUUAAUUUUCACACCUCAUUCACAGCCUUGUCUUAGACAAAUGGAUAAACAAUGGGAUUUAUUUUUAUUUUCUAUUGAAUUUAAUGGGAGGAAGAUGGGCCUCAGACCUUGUCUUUCCUUAGCAUCAUUUUGUGAAUUUUUGAGAUUUUUUUUCCAAGAUGCAGUAAAAGCUCGGGAUUUCCAUGCAGAGAUUUGAUGGAGAGAUUGCAGGAAUUAUAAACUGUGCUUUUAAAAAGCAAUAUUUGUUGCUUUUCCUACAACAUUCAAUAUUCAAAAUAUCUUCUAGAUCAGUCAGUUCCAAUCCUUCAAAUGUCAGAAAGUUAUGUUCUAAACAAAAUGACCUUAUAUUUCAGUGAAGGUGGCUUUCUGUCUUAAAAACAUUGAUAUUCAGAAUUUUUGGAGAAUUGCAU